CGGUCUUAUUCCGCUGAAACACCGGUUCACAUACGAUCAUCGAAGUUAAGGAACAUUGAGACUGGUUAGUAAAUAGAUGGGUGAUCACUUGGGAAUACCAGUUACGG